UACGUAGGGAGCAAGCGUUGUCCGGAAUCAUUGGGCGUAAAGCGCGCGUAGGCGGCCUCAUAAGUCCGUUGUGAAAGUCAAAGGCUCAACCUUUGAAAGCCGAUGGAUACUGUGAGGCUAGAGUCCGGAAGAGGCGAGUGGAAUUCCUGGUGUAGCGGUGGAAUGCGCAGAUAUCGGGAGGAACACCGGUGGCGAAGGCGGCGACCUGGGUCGAGACUGACGCUGAGGCGCGAAAGCGUGGGGAGCAAACAGG
rnacentral:rRNA from 1 species